CUCCUAUACUACAGAUGAUAACUACUUUUCUUGAUUAUUCAUCCAUUCUACAUGCUGAACCACCUUUUCAGUAAUUAUCUAUCCUUGUUUAUACUAUAUACUAGGUAUCUAUAUUCUGAAAAUAACUACUUAUUCUACAUAGUCCUACUCCUAACUGUGCAGCAUCCUCGCAAACACUCAAUUGAUACCUAUCUAAAAAUUAUCUAAUAAAUCUCCACAAAAAUUGUGAUCUCUCUGGCCUAUCUAAUUAAUCAAUUGCCAUAGUAUCUGCUAUUGGUU
rnacentral:lncRNA from 1 species